UUCUCUCUUUCGCAAAUCUCUACUUCCGUUUCUCUCAACUUGCCUUCUGUCACUCUCAAACGUCGGGCAAGCUAUCGACCACCCCUUAUCUACCUUCUUCUUCUUCUUCUUCCUUCGCUUCACCCUGUGCAAAUCUGAGAGACGCCUACCACAAUUGCUUCACUGGGGCCUCUCUCUAAAAUCCAUCUGAAAAAGGUAUAAUGGGUAUUGUUUGUGUUUGCAGGUUGUACUCGGCAAAGUCUGUGAAGGACCAAUAAAUGGAUUCGAAGAUGAACCAAGUCAAGGGACACGGAGCUCAGAAUAUCGGAGAGAUUUUAACCUUCUGCACUUCAAAUUUGAAGCACGAUGUAGUACAGAGUAUACAAUUCCUUGCUGGCUAUGAGAUUUUUCAAGAGGGUUUUGCCUUUCUGAAGAGUUACUUUCAAGGAUAAAAAUGAGUGUUCCAAAGAAAGCUAGGAGUUCCGGUGAUGAAAUUGAACUUAUCGUCUUGGGAUUGAGUUGCUUUUGCGACGGAGACAUUUCAGAAGAGAAUGAGACUUUCCAUGUCUGGAGUACUUUCUCUGCAUGCUUAGGGUAAAUUGUUUGCCUAUUCUGGGAGCAACUAUUCCGGGGUUGAUUGAUAGAGUGAAUAUUGAAUUUGUCGACAUUAAAGGGACUUGGGUCUUUGAUUGGUGGUGACCCAUAGCAACAAUUUGCAAUGUGCUGUGAAUGUUUGCAGAUGUGCUUCAACGUUGAGAUAGGAAUGAGUAUAGCGGGAGCCUUGUGCACUGGGUGGACUUAAAAGAGAUCAAGUAUGCAGGGGAUUGGUAGGGGAUUGGUAGGAUCAACAUAUAAGAGCUACUGAGUAUGGAACGCCAAAGAACCCACUUAAUUAGCUACAUAUCAACAUCAACAACAUCAACGGUGUGUUGCCAAUUCAAUUUGCAAGGAAGCUUUUGAAAAUGCUCAGGGAGAACAAGAGGUUUGCAUGGAAGAUGAGAAGACGAUCUCUGUAUCCUUCAAAACACGUAUUUUGGAAAGCUGGAUGAUUCGCCUAUGUUUCGCGAACAGGCAGUGGCACAUAUUUGGGCAGGGCUUGGAGAGCCGGACCCCAGAUGGUGUAUGCGUACACCAACAUGACCAAGGUGGUUGACCCUGCCGGCUGGAGCGACAAUAACCACCCCGAACGUGACAAAAAUGUGGCCUACAAAGAGUACAAGUGCAUGGGUCAAGGUUUUCUGGACCCUUGAUUUUUUAACGUGCAAGGCAUCAACAGAAAAUCGUGCAACUUGGUCUUUGACUCCUUUGGAGGAACUUCCACUUUCACUGGGUCCUGCUUCAUUACUGUAUUGCUAACAUGUUCCGCUUAAUCACGUCUCGUUGUACAGUUUUUCAUUCCUCAAAAUCACAAUUGGUAAUAUCCUCACACAAAGAAAUGCUUCUGUUGGAAUAUUGUUUCAUCGUUCGGUUGAGCUCUUCUUCUGUUCAUACAGUCUACAGACUCCGCACUUCUUCACCUUCAAGCCUGUCUCGCUUUUGCAACGAAACCGAAUCUGAUCCCAACAUUUCCCCUUCGAAUGCCGACCAAUGCAAUUCAUAGAUAGAAAGCUCAACCAAAGGUGAUCUGAUGCUACUUCCUCGGUAAUACAGCGAAGAGGGCACUCAGGAGUGUCUUGAAAGGUGGUGUUUGAACCAAAAUUGAUCAAACAUGUAAUUUCAUGCCUAUAAUGUCUUGACCAUUUUACUCCACGAUUGGGAGCUGAAAUAUUUUGAGAACCUACAAAUAGAACGCAAAAAGCAAACCCCACUGCCUUGCUAUUGCUUGAGUGCGAAGGUUGCUUCUCAAUCACCGAAUCUCCCAUGCUUUGGUUAUUUAACCACUCAGGAAUUUCACUUCCAGGAAUUACUAUAUCCCAAGACCAAGGGAGCUCCUGCACAAAGGAACAACGUAAAUAAAUGUACACAACUAAGGAGACGAGGAUAGGAGAGAGAAAUACCUGAUUGAAUCUCUUUAGCAUUGAAUACAUUAUGGCAUUACAACUUUGAUUUCCACCCAAACUGAAGCAAUUUUCCAAACUGCACCAAUAACGUCUAAAUCUGCGAUCAUCUGCAAUGGCUGGCAGUUGUUGAAGCCUUUUGCAAUUUGACAAGAAAAAAUUCCGCAGCUUAGAAAGCCCACUGAUGCUUGCAGGAAGGCUAACCAAAUGGUUUCCGCUAAGAUUUAGCCUUACUAAAGAGGACAAGAGACCAAUAUCCUUGGGAAUUGCUCCUUCAC
rnacentral:sRNA from 1 species